rnacentral:rRNA from 1 species
UACGUAGGGGGCAAGCGUUGUCCGGAUUUAUUGGGCGUAAAGAGCGUGUAGGCGGCCAGUUAGGUCCGUUGUGAAAACUCGAGGCUCAACCUCGAGACGCCGAUGGAAACCAUCUGGCUAGAGUCCGGAAGAGGAGAGUGGAAUUCCUGGUGUAGCGGUGAAAUGCGCAGAUAUCAGGAAGAACACCCGUGGCGAAGGCGGCUCUCUAGUACGGUACUGACGCUGAGACGCGAAAGCGUGGGGAGCGAACAGG